rnacentral:rRNA from 1 species
UACAGAGGGUGCGAGCGUUAAUCGGAAUUACUGGGCGUAAAGGGCGCGUAGGCGGUUAGAUAAGUUAGAUGUGAAAUCCCUGGGCUUAACCUAGGAACUGCAUCUGAUACUGUUUAACUGGAGUGCGGUAGAGGGUAGUGGAAUUUCCGGUGUAGCGGUGAAAUGCGUAGAUAUCGGAAGGAACACCAGUGGCGAAGGCGGCUACCUGGACUGACACUGACGCUGAGGCGCGAGAGCGUGGGGAGCAAACAGG